rnacentral:tRNA from 1 species
AUGAAUGCUCGGGAGCGUUUCCACACGGGAGACUGUAAAUCUCCUGCCAUCAAUUGUGUGGUAGUCGGCGAGAGGUGCGAUUCCUUGCGUUCCCAC